rnacentral:rRNA from 1 species
AGUGAACGCUGGCGGUAGGCCUAACACAUGCAAGUCGAACGGCAGCACAGUAAGAGCUUGCUCUUACGGGUGGCGAGUGGCGGACGGGUGAGGAAUACAUCGGAAUCUACUUUUUCGUGGGGGAUAACGUAGGGAAACUUACGCUAAUACCGCAUACGACCUACGGGUGAAAGCAGGGGAUCUUCGGACCUUGCGCGAUUGAAUGAGCCGAUGUCGGAUUAGCUAGUUGGCGGGGUAAAGGCCCACCAAGGCGACGAUCCGUAGCUGGUCUGAGAGGAUGAUCGGCCACACUGGAACUGAGACACGGUCCAGACUCCUACGGGAGGCAGCAGUGGGGAAUAUUGAGCAAAGGGCGAAAGCCUGACCCAGCAAUGCCGCGUGGGUGAAGAAGGCCUUCGGGUUGUAAAGCCCUUUUGUUGGGAAAGAAAAGCAGCGGGUUAAUACCCCCCUGUUCUGACGGUACCAAAAGAAAAAGCACCGGCUAACUUCGUG